UACGUAGGGGGCAAGCGUUGUCCGGAAUCAUUGGGCGUAAAGCGCGUGUAGGCGGCCAGAAAAGUCAGCUGUGAAAACUCGAGGCUCAACUUCGAGCUGUCGGUGGAAACUUUCUGGCUAGAGUCCGGAAGAGGAGAAUGGAAUUCCUGGUGUAGCGGUGAAAUGCGCAGAUAUCAGGAAGAACACCCGUGGCGAAGGCGGUUCUCUGGGACGGUACUGACGCUGAGACGCGAAAGCGUGGGGAGCGAACAGG
rnacentral:rRNA from 1 species